rnacentral:misc_RNA from 1 species
GAAAUGCGAUAAGUAAUGUGAAUUGCAGAAUUCAGUGAAUCAUCGAAUCUUUGAACGCACAUUGCGCCCGCUAGUAUUCUGGCGGGCAUGCCUGUUCGAGCGUCAUUUCAACCCUCAGGCCCCCACGGGCCUGGUGUUGGGGGACGGCCCCUCACCGGGCUGCCCCCCGAAAGAUAGUGGCGGUCUCGCUGUCUGCUUCCUCUGCGUAGUAACACACCUCGCACCGGGACGCGGCGCGGCCACGCCGUAAAACCCCCUACUUCUAAAGGUUGACCUCGGAUCAGGUAGGAAUACCCGCUGAACUUAA